UAUUAUUUUUUAUUAAAAAAUAAUAAAUCAAAGAUUUAACCUGUAUUGAAACGGUGAAUUAAUUAUAUUUUACUUUUUAUUAAUGUUGAUUCAAAAACCCGUCCCUCCAAAUCCGUCUUGCCAAAAAGCCAUUUAUUUUAUUAAUAUUAAUUUUAUUUAUGAUAUAACUCUGAAUUAUAAUAUAAACAUUUUAGCUAAUAACAUAGGAGUGCACCAUAUUUAUUUAAUAAGGGGAAUGUACCAUAUGACCCGAAUGCACUUUUACCCAAAUCCACCAAAAAAGUCUUGCAAAACUACUAUAGACCCGAAUGUACCAUAUUUUUUUGUGCUAAUUUUUAUGUGAUUAAGAUUUAAUUGAUUUCGUAUAUAAAAUAUUAAAUUGUUUUACGAACUUAUUUGUUUAUAAUUUGGUAACAGAUAGAUAAUUGAAUAUUCAGUAUAUUUUGUUUCAGUUUAGGAAAUCUUUAAUGACCCAUCUUUAAAUCCAAUAAGCCCUAUAAUUAAGAGAUGAAUAUUGUCGUUAAAUGAUUUUGGUAAUCUUAAUGAUGUCAUUAAAAGAUUUUGUUUUUGAUUAAAUUUUUUUAAUGGCAUUGUCAUGUAAUUAAUUACAAAAAUUAAAGUUACAUUUAAAAUGUACUUCCCAAAUAAUAUAGUAGAACGAUAUGCACUUUUAUCCAAAUCCACCAAAAAAGUCUUGCAAAUAUACUAUAGAGAUAAGAAACGAUAGUCGGUUUUGAUAGGUAUAAGAUUAGCAAAUAUAUUAGUUCGCUUAAAUUAGUUAAAGAAUAUAAAUUGAAAAGGUAUAUUACACUUUAUUCGAAUAUAGUAUCAAAACUUAUAUAGAGAUUUGAUAAAUUUUUAAUUGUUGAAUACUUUUUUUUUGAGCAAAUUUUAUGUGAUUAAGAUUUAGUUGAUUUCGUAUAUAAAAUAUUAAAUUGUUUUACGAACUUAUUUGUUUAUAAUUUGGUAACAGAUAGAUAUUUGAAUAUUCAGUAUAUUUUGCUUCAGUUUAGGAAAUCUUUGAUGAGUUGUCUUUAGAUCCAAUAAGCCCUGUAAUCUAGAUAUUAACUUGCAGUAUACCGCAGGUAGGCUUAUAUUUUAGUUCAACUAAAAACUUUUAAAAAUUCAAAUUAUGGCAUAUGCGAAAAAACUCUAAUUAUUUUUCUGUAAUGAUGAUAUUAUUUUUCGGCAAAAAUAGAAUCAUAUAAAGAUGAGAAGUAAACUAUAAUAAUUAAUAAAAAAUUAAUAUGAUAAUUUAGAUAUCAAAUCUAAUUUGUUGAUUUUAAUUGGUUACUUUUUUGGGAAUUAAUAAUGUAUUUCGUUUUUCUAAUUAAAUUAAAU
rnacentral:sRNA from 1 species